GGACAUGGCUCAGUGGUAGAAUGCUUGCCUAGUAUGCAUGAGGUCUGGGUUCAAUCCCCAAUACUG
rnacentral:tRNA from 1 species